UAGGAGUUGGUAACUUUGAUAUUAAAUUACAAAAGUUGCAGCAAUAGAAUUAGCGACCACAUUUUUAUGUUAUUAGGUACAUCUAUUCGACAUCGACAUUCCUAAUAAGAUUACUUUUCGAGAGAGUGAUUCACUCAGUCCUGGUAACUCCCUAACGACGUUCGAUGUGAAGGGCUGCAAAAUAGGUAUUGGCAUUUGCUAUGAUAUUAGAUUCGAGGAAAUGGCACGCAUUUAUCGGAACAAAGGUUGCCAAAUGCUGAUAUAUCCAGCGGCAUUCAAUAUGACCACUGGACCACUGCACUGGUCAUUACUUCAGCGUUUCAGAGCGAAUGAUAAUCAAUUAUACGUUGCCUGCAUAUCACCGGCUCGUGUUCCUUAAGCAAGUUACGUCGCAUGGGGACAUACACAGUUGACCAAUCCCUGGGGAAAGAUUCUUUACGAUUUGGAAACUCAAGAGAAUAUGGCAGUCACCGAUAUCGAUCUAAAAGUUGUUGAGGAAGUAAGGGCUCAGAUACCUACAUUUUCUCAGAGACGUACAGAUUUGUACGACACUGUCUGUAAGAAGGAGUAACUCUACACUAAAACAGAAAAUGUUUUUUUAUAAUAUUUCUACUACGAUAUCCUUUUUUUGUGAAUUAUUACUAAUUUCUUAUCAUUUGUACUAAAUGAAUGACUCAAUUAAGAAAACCAAAACGUUAUAAAUAAUAAUCUGUAUAUCUUGUGUAUCAACAUGUAAUUGGAUAUUAUAAUAAUAUAGGAAUGCUAUAAUAAUAUAGGAUAAUAAUAUAGGAGAAUAGUAAUAUAGAAAAAAACUACAUGCUUUUAAACACCUUUAAUAUCGAUCACAUAAAUUGUUAUAAUUCACAAUGAUUACGCAUACAUAAAAGACCCCUUGAUAGUAAAAUUUACGAUCAAAAGGCAAUUACGUAUCGUUUAACAACAUUUAAUUUAUAACACCUUUUAAACAUUUAGACAGAUUAACACAUAACACUUCUUAUAUAGAAACAUCAAUUCGAAGUUAUCAGCUUGGAGAAAUUGGUCGAUUAAUACCUGUAGAUUGUCUGUCUCGAUGAAAGACUUAAAGAGAGCAAAAACAUGAUAAUGCCGCUAAUAUAAUAUUCCUUCUUUCUUGUAUCUGUCUGCCUCUCAGGUCGUUUUACUAAUUACAAUAAGUAAUUUCGCCUUCUUUGCGCUCUCUUUUAACGCAUUCGAGACCGAAAGAAAUUCAUAUCAGUCAGUA